UUAAUGGAGAGUUUGAUCCUGGCUCAGGACGAACGCUGGCGGCGUGCCUAAUACAUGCAAGUCGAGCGAGGGUCUUCGGACCCUAGCGGCGGACGGGUGAGUAACACGUAGGCAACCUGCCUGUAAGACUGGGAUAACAUAGGGAAACUUAUGCUAAUACCGGAUAGGGUUUUGCUUCGCCUGAAGCGAAACGGAAAGAUGGCGCAAGCUAUCACUUACAGAUGGGCCUGCGGCGCAUUAGCUAGUUGGUGAGGUAACGGCUCACCAAGGCGACGAUGCGUAGCCGACCUGAGAGGGUGACCGGCCACACUGGGACUGAGACACGGCCCAGACUCCUACGGGAGGCAGCAGUAGGGAAUUUUCCACAAUGGACGAAAGUCUGAUGGAGCAACGCCGCGUGAACGAUGAAGGCUUUCGGGUCGUAAAGUUCUGUUGUUAGGGAAGAAACAGUGCUAUUUAAAUAAGGUAGCACCUUGACGGUACCUAACGAGAAAGCCACGGCUAACUACGUGCCAGCAGCCGCGGUAAUACGUAGGUGGCAAGCGUUGUCCGGAAUUAUUGGGCGUAAAGCGCGCGCAGGUGGCUAUGUAAGU
rnacentral:rRNA from 1 species